CAGUUUUCCCCGCCCACCGCGAAUCUUCCCACGCGUAACGUACCUAGUUCGAUGAAGCGUUCGCGUCAGGGGUAUCGCCGCUGCCUCCAACCGAUCUACUCCACCGUCCAUUGUCGUUCUGCCUAUCUUCUGUUGCGUGGGUCAUCGUCAGACUCUUAGAUUUGGAUUUGAGCUUGGAAAAUUACAGAAGCCGUUGUCCAGCAGAUUCGAGAUUGUUCGGCAAGAGUUUUGGUCCUUGUUGUUGGUUUGUGGGCACGCAUGUAUUACUGAAUUAAAUGUUGACUUAACCCUUGCAGUCGUCGUCUAUUGGGAUUUAAAAUCUGUUAGGAGGAGAUUUUGGAGUUGAAAUCUUAGGAGUGGUUGUUGAUCAAGUUUCUUUGGGUAAGGGUAGAGAUGCACCGACGAUGGACAAGCGGAAUUUAUGAUCGAGCCAUUGGAACUAGUU